rnacentral:lncRNA from 1 species
UGGCGUGUAGUUAUUCUGGUAUUGUCCAGGAUCAUUCCAUCCUGCAUUAGAAGGUGGAGCCAUGUUGUUUGGUGGCACCCCUCCCGGGUUAUUGGGAGGCAUCUGAUUGUAGUUGUUGGGCGGCAUCUGAUUGUAGCUGUUGGGAGGCACCUGAUUAUAGCUGUUCGGUGGCCCAGAAUUCCAGUUGUUGCUUGGCUGGGGAUUAUUGUAGUUGUUUGGUGGACCCAUGUUGGGAGGCGGCAUUGGAGCCCUGUUCGGGGGUGGAGGACCCAUGUUGGGAGGCUGCAUUGGACCCCUGUUGGGGGGUGGAGGACCCAUGUUGGCAG